CUAACUCAAAAGGGAAGGCUGAGAGAAAGUUAGUCUCGGCUGAGAGAAAGUGAGAGGACUGAUGAUAAAAAUGUGUGGGAGAAGAAUACCGAAAUAGAAGUCAUUGCGUCAUUCACAGCCAAUCAAAGAACACCAAGUGUCAAAUGUGACCUUUAGGAUAUAAAAUAAGACACCUGAAACUGUAAGUUCAAAAUCAAAAAGUAAUGGCUGCCCCAAUAGAGGAUGUCCUCAUUGAGGUCCAUCCAUCUGAUGGUAAGUUGGGAAUGUGUAACCCUAUAGUGAUAACUAUAAUGCCUUUUUUUGGUAGAUGAACUUG
rnacentral:lncRNA from 1 species